GCAGUCGAACGCUUCUUUUAUCCACCGGAGCUUGCUCCACCGGAAAAAGAGGAGUGGCGAACGGGUGAGUAACACGUGGGUAACCUGCCCAUCAGAAGGGGAUAACACUUGGAAACAGGUGCUAAUACCGUAUAACAAUCGAAACCGCAUGGUUUUGAUUUGAAAGGCGCUUUCGGGUGUCGCUGAUGGAUGGACCCGCGGUGCAUUAGCUAGUUGGUGAGGUAACGGCUCACCAAGGCCACGAUGCAUAGCCGACCUGAGAGGGUGAUCGGCCACAUUGGGACUGAGACACGGCCCAAACUCCUACGGGAGGCAGCAGUAGGGAAUCUUCGGCAAUGGACGAAAGUCUGACCGAGCAACGCCGCGUGAGUGAAGAAGGUUUUCGGAUCGUAAAACUCUGUUGUUAGAGAAGAACAAGGAUGAGAGUAACUGUUCAUCCCUUGACGGUAUCUAACCAGAAAGCCACGGCUAACUACGUGCCAGCAGCCGCGGUAAUACGUAGGUGGCAAGCGUUGUCCGGAUUUAUUGGGCGUAAAGCGAGCGCAGGCGGUUUCUUAAGUCUGAUGUGAAAGCCCCCGGCUCAACCGGGGAGGGUCAUUGGAAACUGGGAGACUUGAGUGCAGAAGAGGAGAGUGGAAUUCCAUGUGUAGCGGUGAAAUGCGUAGAUAUAUGGAGGAACACCAGUGGCGAAGGCGGCUCUCUGGUCUGUAACUGACGCUGAGGCUCGAAAGCGUGUGGAGCAAACAGGAUUAGAUACUCUGGUAGUCCACGCCGUAAACGAUGAGUGCUAAGUGUUGGAGGGUUUCCGCCCUUCAGUGCUGCAGCUAACGCAUUAAGCACUCCGCCUGCGGAGUACGACCGCAAGGUUGAAACUCAAAGGAAUUGACGGGGGCCCGCACAAGCGAUGGAGCAUGUGGUUUAGUUCUAAGCAACGCGAAGAGCCUUACCAGGUCUUGACAUCCUGUG
rnacentral:rRNA from 1 species